AGGGCGCACGGUGGAUGCCUUGGCACUAGAAGCCGAUGAAGGACGUUACUAACGACGAUAUGCUUUGGGGAGCUGUAAGUAAGCUUUGAUCCAGAGAUUUCCGAAUGGGGAAACCCAGCAUGAGUUAUGUCAUGUUAUCGAUAUGUGAAUACAUAGCAUAUCAGAAGGCACACCCGGAGAACUGAAACAUCUUAGUACCCGGAGGAAGAGAAAGAAAAUUCGAUUCCCUUAGUAGCGGCGAGCGAAACGGGAAGAGCCCAAACCAACAAGCUUGCUUGUUGGGGUUGUAGGACACUCUAUACGGAGUUACAAAGGACGACAUUAGACGAAUCAUCUGGAAAGAUGAAUCAAAGAAGGUAAUAAUCCUGUAGUCGAAAAUGUUGUCUCUCUUGAGUGGAUCCUGAGUACGACGGAGCACGUGAAAUUCCGUCGGAAUCUGGGAGGACCAUCUCCUAAGGCUAAAUACUCUCUAGUGACCGAUAGUGAACCAGUACCGUGAGGGAAAGGUGAAAAGCACCCCGGAAGGGGAGUGAAAUAGAACCUGAAACCGUGUGCUUACAAGUAGUCAGAGCCCGUUAAUGGGUGAUGGCGUGCCUUUUGUAGAAUGAACCGGCGAGUUACGAUUUGAUGCAAGGUUAAGCAGUAAAUGUGGAGCCGUAGCGAAAGCGAGUCUGAAUAGGGCGUUUAGUAUUUGGUCGUAGACCCGAAACCAGGUGAUCUACCCUUGGUCAGGUUGAAGUUCAGGUAACACUGAAUGGAGGACCGAACCGACUUACGUUGAAAAGUGAGCGGAUGAACUGAGGGUAGCGGAGAAAUUCCAAUCGAACCUGGAGAUAGCUGGUUCUCUCCGAAAUAGCUUUAGGGCUAGCCUCAAGUGAUGAUUAUUGGAGGUAGAGCACUGUUUGGACGAGGGGCCCCUCUCGGGUUACCGAAUUCAGACAAACUCCGAAUGCCAAUUAAUUUAACUUGGGAGUCAGAACAUGGGUGAUAAGGUCCGUGUUCGAAAGGGAAACAGCCCAGACCACCAGCUAAGGUCCCAAAAUAUAUGUUAAGUGGAAAAGGAUGUGGCGUUGCCCAGACAACUAGGAUGUUGGCUUAGAAGCAGCCAUCAUUUAAAGAGUGCGUAAUAGCUCACUAGUCGAGUGACACUGCGCCGAAAAUGUACCGGGGCUAAACAUAUUACCGAAGCUGUGGAUUGUCCUUUGGACAAUGGUAGGAGAGCGUUCUAAGGGCGUUGAAGCAUGAUCGUAAGGACAUGUGGAGCGCUUAGAAGUGAGAAUGCCGGUGUGAGUAGCGAAAGACGGGUGAGAAUCCCGUCCACCGAUUGACUAAGGUUUCCAGAGGAAGGCUCGUCCGCUCUGGGUUAGUCGGGUCCUAAGCUGAGGCCGACAGGCGUAGGCGAUGGAUAACAGGUUGAUAUUCCUGUACCACCUAUAAUCGUUUUAAUCGAUGGGGGGACGCAGUAGGAUAGGCGAAGCGUGCGAUUGGAUUGCACGUCUAAGCAGUAAGGCUGAGUAUUAGGCAAAUCCGGUACUCGUUAAGGCUGAGCUGUGAUGGGGAGAAGACAUUGUGUCUUCGAGUCGUUGAUUUCACACUGCCGAGAAAAGCCUCUAGAUAGAAAAUAGGUGCCCGUACCGCAAACCGACACAGGUAGUCAAGAUGAGAAUUCUAAGGUGAGCGAGCGAACUCUCGUUAAGGAACUCGGCAAAAUGACCCCGUAACUUCGGGAGAAGGGGUGCUCUUUAGGGUUAACGCCCAGAAGAGCCGCAGUGAAUAGGCCCAAGCGACUGUUUAUCAAAAACACAGGUCUCUGCUAAACCGUAAGGUGAUGUAUAGGGGCUGACGCCUGCCCGGUGCUGGAAGGUUAAGAGGAGUGGUUAGCUUCUGCGAAGCUACGAAUCGAAGCCCCAGUAAACGGCGGCCGUAACUAUAACGGUCCUAAGGUAGCGAAAUUCCUUGUCGGGUAAGUUCCGACCCGCACGAAAGGCGUAACGAUUUGGGCACUGUCUCAACGAGAGACUCGGUGAAAUCAUAGUACCUGUGAAGAUGCAGGUUACCCGCGACAGGACGGAAAGACCCCGUGGAGCUUUACUGUAGCCUGAUAUUGAAAUUCGGCACAGCUUGUACAGGAUAGGUAGGAGCCUUUGAAACGUGAGCGCUAGCUUACGUGGAGGCGCUGGUGGGAUACUACCCUAGCUGUGUUGGCUUUCUAACCCGCACCACUUAUCGUGGUGGGAGACAGUGUCAGGCGGGCAGUUUGACUGGGGCGGUCGCCUCCUAAAAGGUAACGGAGGCGCUCAAAGGUUCCCUCAGAAUGGUUGGAAAUCAUUCAUAGA
rnacentral:rRNA from 1 species